rnacentral:rRNA from 1 species
AGUUCUAACCAUAAACGAUGCCAGCCAGCGAUCCGCCGACGUUCCUCCGAUGACUCGGCGGGGAGCUUUCCCCGGGAAACCAAAGCUUUUGGGUUCCGGGGGAAGUAUGGUUGCAAAGCUGAAACUUAAAGGAAUUGACGGAAGGGCACCACCAGGAGUGGAGCCUGCGGCUUAAUUUGACUCAACACGGGAAACCUCACCAGGCCCGG